UGACGAGCAGGACGCUGGUUUCCGGUCUCUUCCACGUGUGCUCAUGUGCUGCUAGCAUGGCGGGACGUUUAGAGGCAGGGCUCUUGCAAUCCUCCGCACUUUGCUGCAGACUUUCUAUGUGGCGCCUCACAGGAUGCCUUGCCUCUGAUGCAUCUCCCCGGAAUCCUAGGUGUUUGACUCCACCAAACAAGAUUCGGGGUGAAGGUUGUAUCAGAUGCAGUAUGAAGGUCUAAAUUAGUUGGGCCAGGGAGAACAAGACUGUGCAGUGAGUCAAUGAGGUGCUAGAGAUUAGUAAAUGAGUCCAGUAUGGUCUGUAGUUCAGCUCAGAAUUUGGGACAAGUUACAAAGUUGGUUACCAGUGAUUUUAGGCCCAGAGCCAACUUAACCCAUUUGCUGCCAGCGUGUCUCCACUGUUUCAUAAUGCCGAUCACGGUCAUUAAAGCCUUUUAGAUGCUGUAAUCAAGUGAGAUCACGGCAUCUAAAGGGUUAAAAAAAAACGGAAGUGCGUACCGGCAUCCUCUGCGGCCAAUGAGGAUGCCAGUAAUUGGUUUCAAUAUGUUGGGUCUCUCUGAAGAGACCCAGGAUCAGUGAUGGUCAGUUCGCAGGGGCUGCCAUCUUGGCUCACCUGUCCAGCGACGCACAGGGGAGCCGGUCUGAAAUCAAAUGUGGUCACCGGGUGCAGGCAGUUCCGAGAACAGCCGACGGGGGCCUUCAUCAGACUGU